UACAGAGGUCUCAAGCGUUGUUCGGAUUCAUUGGGCGUAAAGGGUGCGUAGGUGGCGCCGUAAGUCGGGUGUGAAAUUUCGGAGCUUAACUCCGAAACUGCAUUCGAUACUGCGGUGCUUGAGGACUGGAGAGGAGACUGGAAUUCAUGGUGUAGCAGUGAAAUGCGUAGAUAUCGAGAGGAACACCUGCGGCGAAGGCGGCUCUCUGGGACGGUACUGACGCUGAGACGCGAAAGCGUGGGGAGCGAACAGG
rnacentral:rRNA from 1 species